UGUGGAACGAGAGCAGGACGAUGCCUCCUUUUUGCCCAAUCCCCAUGCACGUACUUGUCUCUCCUUUGAAAUAAAUAGCGACUCCUAAAACAAAAUUUAAAGCUUGGAGGGACAUUUUGACCUCUUCUAAGCUCAAAUCGCAUCACUCGCUUUGUCUGCACUCCACUUUGGUCCAGUCUUCUGCAGGCCAAGCAGUAGAGACGGAGCCAGAGCCACUGAAAAAGCAAGCAGGGAGGUAAGUAAAACUAAUUAAGGUUUGGCAUGUGAAUAUUGAGCAGAGCAGUGACAAUGUACUCUACACAGUCCCCAUUUUCUUCGCUAAGUCAUCCCUCAAUCUCGUCCCAGCCUUUCCACAUGCCCAUAUCUUCUUCGGCGCACUUGGCCAUGUCUGGGCCGGGUAUUGCGCACCCGAACAGCUUAGCAUAUCAGUCGCAGAUUUACCACCAUUCGACCCACCUUCAAAUUCCCUCUCAGCUGCGCGAACUGUGCCAGCCCCAGUCCAUUUCUCAGCCCCUCUGUGACAUUGUACAGCCCGGUCCCGGCCAUUAUGACCCAGUGCAGCCCGUUGUCUCUCCGCCUGGCCCGGGUCAGUAUGAGGCUGUUCAGAGAACUGUCUCCCCGCCUUGCCCCGGGCAGUAUGAGGCCAUUCAGAGGACGACUGGAUGCUCGCCCGCUGGGCAGUAUGAGCAUGUGCAAAGGGCCGAGUCCUCGCCGGCUGGGCAGUUUGAGACCGUUCAAAGGGCGGUAUCCUCGCCUGCUGGCCAGUAUGAGACCGCCCAUAGGGCUGUGUCCUCACCAACUGGGCAAUAUGAGGUUGUCCAAAGAGCCGUUUCCUCGCCCGCCGGACAGUAUGAUUCCGUCCACACUGUCACCUCUCCGCCCUGCCCUGGGCAGCAAUACACAAUAGCUGAAACGCCCGUGUCCAGCUCUGCUUAUUGUGCUUCAAACCCUGAGGCUAAGGGCUCUGAAAAGAUAGGAGCUGCGGAGUAUGAAGACGAGGCAGAAGGAGAAGACAAUAAGAAGAAGGAGAAGGAGAGAGAACAUCAUAAGAAGAGAUCAAAGAAUUGGACAAAGGCCGAGACUUCAAAAUUGAUUAGGCUGAGGACUGAAUUUGAGCCCAGGUUUGCCAAGGGGGGCAAGAAAUCAGAGAUAUGGGACGAAAUUGCAGAGGCUUUUAGGAAUGAUCAAUUCUGCCGUGAUGCCCAGCAGUGCCGGGACAAGUGGGAGAAGCUUGCUGCUGCCUACAAGGGAGUGAGGGAUGGUGCCAAGGAUAGGGACGAUAACCCUUUCUUCGAAGAGAUGCAUCCCUUGUUAGGGGGGAAGGUGUUGUCGAGGAAGGAUAAAGAGAGGGAUAGGGAUCAGGAAGCAGCAGAGUUGUCUAAGGUGGCAGUGGUAUCCAGUGAAACUGCUGCAAGGGACUAUGAGGCAGAUCACAAUGAUGCUGCAAAGAGAAAUUAUGAUUAUUAUAGGGACGAGGAGGAGUGGGAGGCGGACAUGGUGGCUCAGAGGGGGAAGAAACGCAGAUUAAGGCCCAAGUAUAUUGCAGUGUCUGACCUAUCUGCUGUUAAGGAUAUAGUGGGGACGGUCUUUGAAAAGCAGCAGGAGUUGUUCAGAGAUGUCUUGGAGAAUGUUGAGAGGAGGGAACAAAUGAGGGAGCUGGCACGGCAGGAGAAAGAGGAGAAAUGGAGGGCCGAAGAGCGGGCUCAAAGGGAGGUGUUCCAAAAGGCUAUGCUGGUCUUAUUACAGAGGCUUGUUGGUGAUGGAGCAGGUAAUUUUGAAUCAGGAGCUCUGACAAUUCCACCAGUUUCUUCCUUUGAUGGAAAUAAUCAGGUGCUGAAGAAACGGUCGAAGAAUUGGAAGCGGGCUGAGGUUCUUCAGCUUAUCAGGCUAAGAGGCGAAAUGGAUAGCAAGUUUUCAGAGUCUACAAGAAGGGGAUUGCUUUGGGAUCAACUGGCAGACUGUCUAAUGGCACAAGGAAUCAAGCGGGAUGCAAAACAGUGCAAGGAGAAAUGGGAUAAACUUGCAGCAGAAUACAAAGAUGUUGUAGAUGAGAAGAAGGAUGCUAGUUUGAGUCCAUAUUUUGCAGAGGUAGCAGCCAUACUAGGCCGGCAUCUUGUUAAUUCAGAGUAGCUGCCAUCUUUUUACAUUCUCAAAGGUUCCACCUUACUGGAUUGGAUUUUAUCAGAAAUUCAGAUCAGUAUGCGACCUUCCAGCUGUUGGUGAUUGUUGUCAAUAUUUCUCUAGAGGCUGCGUGGACCAAUCUCUGUGUGGAGUUCUUGCGUUAGGUGGGGGCAUACUAGAGGCUACAGAAUGUUCGUUGAGCCUUGCUUUCCAUUUAUGGAUGCAGAGUGAAGGCCAUUUUCAUUGAACUAAUACAAAUUGGAAGAUGAUCCACAAAUGAAUUGUUUCCUUUUAGGUGACAAUUCUUCUUCGAAAACGUCAUCCUUGAGAUAUCAUUUUUGUUGUGAAUGCAAAUAUUGUAGCUGCAGCACUGAUGGGCUGUAGGAGAGUAGACAUUUGCAAGAAUUUCUGGAAUUGAUUUCAAGGUUCCUGGAAAAUUGAAAAAUAUCCUUUGUGAAAUGUAAAUUGACAAUUGAUGUCUGUAUGUAUAGUAAACUGAGUUUUUCUAAGGGAAAGUAAUAUUUUCAGUUUGUCAAACAA